AUGAACAACAUCCUUCAUAUUCCUGGACUGACUGAUACUACAGUGCCUCGCCGCCUGGGCCCCAAAAGAGCUAGCAGAAUCCGCAAACUUUUCAAUCUCUCUAAAGAAGAUGACGUCCGCCAGUAUGUUGUGACAAAGCCCUUAAACAAAGAAGGUAAGAAACCUAGGACCAAAGCACCCAAGAUUCAACGUCUUGUUACUCCACGUGUCUUGCAGCACAAACGGCGGCGUAUUGCUCUGAAGAAGCAGCGUACUAAGAAAAACAAGGAAGAGGCUGCAGAAUAUGCUAAACUUUUGGCCAAAAGAAUGAAGGAGUCUAAGGAGAAGCGCCAGGAACAAAUUGCGAAGAGACGCAGACUUUCCUCUCUGCGAGCUUCUACUUCUAAGUCUGAAUCCAGUCAGAAAUAACUUUUUGAGUAACAAAUAAAUAAGAUCAGACUC